ACCCCACUGCUAUCGGGGUGGGACUAAGACAUGCUAGUCGUGCGCCUCCAAGCCACGGUGGAGGCGCGGCGCACAGCUCAGUAACACGUGGCUAACCUACCCUUGGGACGGGGACAACCCCGGGAAACUGGGGCUAAUCCCCGAUAGGCGAGGACACCUGGAAUGGGUCUUCGCCGAAAGGGCGUCUAGACCAUGCUUCUAGGCGCUGCCCAAGGAUGGGGCCGCGGCCGAUCAGGUAGUUGGUGAGGUAACGGCUCACCAAGCCUAUAACCGGUACGGGCCGUGGGAGCGGGAGCCCGGAGAUGGACACUGAGACAAGGGUCCAGGCCCUACGGGGCGCAGCAGUCGCGAAACCUCCGCAAUACGCGAAAGCGUGACGGGGCCACCCCGAGUGCCGUCCGCUGAGGACGGCUUUUCCCCAGUGUAGCCAGCUGGGGGAAUAAGGGGAGGGCAAGUCGGGUGUCAGCCGCCGCGGUAAUACCCGCUCCCCGAGUGGUGGGGACGCUUAUUGGGCCUAAAGCAUCCGUAGCCGGCUGGAUAAGUCCCCUGUUAAAUCCAGCGAUUCAAUCGCUGGACUGCGGGGGAUACUGUCCAGCUAGGGGGCGGGAGAGGCCGGCGGUAUUCCCGGGGUAGGGGUGAAAUCUUAUAAUCCCGGGAGGACCACCAGUGGCGAAGGCUGCCGGCUAGAACGCGCCCGACGGUGAGGGAUGAAAGCUGGGGGAGCGAACCGGAUUAGAUACCCGGGUAGUCCCAGCUGUAAACGAUGCGGGCUAGGUGUUGGCACGGCUACGAGCCGUGCCAGUGCCGCAGGGAAGCCGUUAAGCCCGCCGCCUGGGGAGUACGGCCGCAAGGCUGAAACUUAAAGGAAUUGGCGGGGGAGCACCACAAGGGGUGAAGCUUGCGGUUU
rnacentral:rRNA from 1 species